rnacentral:rRNA from 1 species
UACGAAGGGUGCAAACGUUGCUCGGAAUUAUUGGGCGUAAAGCGCACGUAGGCGGCAUCGCAAGUCCCAUGUGAAAGCCCACGGCUUAACUGGGGAGGGUCACGCGAUACUGAUCGACUCGAAGGCAGGAGAGGGUAGUGGAAUUCCCGGUGUAGUGGUGAAAUGCGUAGAUAUCGGGAGGAACACCAGUGGCGAAGGCGACUACCUGGCCUGUUCUUGACGCUGAGGCGCGAAAGCUAGGGGAGCAAACGGG